rnacentral:rRNA from 1 species
GACGAACGCUGGCGGCGUGCUUAACACAUGCAAGUCGAGCGAUGAAGUUCCGUCGGGAAUGGAUUAGCGGCGGACGGGUGAGUAACACGUGGGUAACCUGCCUCAGAGAGGGGAAUAGCCUUUCGAAAGGAAGAUUAAUACCGCAUAAGAUUGUAGUAUCGCAUGAUACAGCAAUUAAAGGAGUAAUCCGCUAUGAGAUGGACCCGCGUCGCAUUAGCUAGUUGGUGAGGUAACGGCUCACCAAGGCGACGAUGCGUAGCCGACCUGAGAGGGUGAUCGGCCACAUUGGGACUGAGACACGGCCCAGACUCCUACGGGAGGCAGCAGUGGGGAAUAUUGCACAAUGGGGGAAACCCUGAUGCAGCAACGCCGCGUGAGUGAUGACGGUCUUCGGAUUGUAAAACUCUGUCUUCAGGGACGAUAAUGACGGUACCUGAGGAGGAAGCCACGGCUAACUACGUGCCAGCAGCCGCCGUAA